UCCUGGCUCAGAUUGAACGCUGGCGGCAUGCUUUACACAUGCAAGUCGGGCGGCAGCACAGAGAAGCUUGAUUCUUGGGUGGCGAGUGGCGAACGGGUGAGUAACAUAUCGGAACGUACCGAGCAUGGGGGAUAACUAAUCGAAAGAUUAGCUAAUACCGCAUAUCUUCUGAGGAAGAAAGCAGGGGGACCAUUUUGGCCUUGCGCUGUUUGAGCGGCCGAUAUCUGAUUAGCUAGUUGGUGGGGUAAAGGCCUACCAAGGCGACGAUCAGUAGCGGGUCUGAGAGGAUGAUCCGCCACACUGGGACUGAGACACGGCCCAGACUCCUACGGGAGGCAGCAGUGGGGAAUUUUGGACAAUGGGCGAAAGCCUGAUCCAGCCAUGCCGCGUGUCUGAAGAAGGCCUUCGGGUUGUAAAGGACUUUUGUCAGGGAAGAAAAGGGCGGGGUUAAUACCCCUGUCUGAUGACGGUACCUGAAGAAUAAGCACCGGCUAACUACGUG
rnacentral:rRNA from 1 species